AAAUCUACGGAGGUUACAGAUGGGCAUGCGUGCCAUUAGCUAGAUGGUAAGGUAACGGCUUACCAUGGCAAUGAUGGCUAGGGGUUCUGCAAGGAAGGCCCCCCACACUGGUACUGAGACACGGACCAGACUCCUACGGGGAGGCAGCAGUGAGGAAUAUUGGUCAAUGGAGGCAACUCUGAACCAGCCAAGCUUUGUGAAGGAAGACUGUCCUAUGGAUUGUAAACUUCUUUUGUGGCAGAAUAAACUACCGUACUUGUACGGUAUUGCAUGUAUGCCAUGAAUAAGCAUCGGCUAACUCCGUGCCAGCAGCCGCGGUAAUACGGAGGAUGCAGGCGUUAUCCGGAUUUAUUAGGUUUAAAGGGUGUUCAGGCUGCCUGGUAAGUCAGGGGUGAAAGUCGGUCGCUCAACGAUCGAAUUGCCUUUGAAACUGUCAGGCUCGAGUAUGGAUGCGGUAGGCGGAAUGUGUAGUGUAGCGGUGAAAUGCAUAGAUAUUACACAGAACACCGAUUGCGAAGGCAGCUUACCAAACCAGCACUGACGCUGAAGCACGAAAGCGUGGGGAGCGAACAGGAUUAGAUACCCUGGUAGUCCACGCCGUAAACUUUGCUCACUCGCUGUUGGCGAUAGACAGUCAGCGGCCAAGGGAAACCGAUAAGUGAGCCACCUGGGGAGUACGGCCGCAAGGUUGAAACUCAAAGGAAUUGACGGGGGCCCGCACAAGCGGUGGAACAUGUGGUUUAAUUCGAUGAUACGCGAGGAACCUUACCUGGGCUUAAAUGUGAAGUGCAUUGAUUGGAAACAAUCAUUUCCUUCGGGACCCUUUACAAGGUGCUGCAUGGUUGUCGUCAGCUCGUGCCGUGAGGUGUCGGGUUAAGUCCCAUAACGAGCGCAACCCCUAUUGUUAGUUACCAGCGUGUAAAGGCGGGGACUCUAGCGAAACUGCCGGUGUAAACCGCGAGGAAGGUGGGGAUGACGUCAAAUCAGCACGGCCCUUAUGUCCAGGGCUACACACGUGUUACAAUGGCCGGUACAGCGGGCAGCUAGGCAGCGAUGUCAUGCUAAUCCCGAAAGCCGGUCCCAGUUCGGAUUGGAGUCUGCAACCCGACUCCAUGAAGGUGGAAUCGCUAGUAAUCGCGCAUCA
rnacentral:rRNA from 1 species